AAAGCACCACUGCAAGUCUAUGGUGAACCAUCACUAUCAUAAACUAGGUAUCCCCCUACCGACUUCACCCCCACGUCCAAACUUAUGUUGGCACCACCUCAGUAUUAAAAGUCACAAGCCGCAAUUUGGAAAUACCUUGUAAAUAGUUUAUUAACACCCCUUAUUAUAAAGCCUUGCCAGUUAUUGUGUUGAUCUAUGUGACGCUUUUUCUAAACUAAUAGAAGAAACUGCACAUUUUCCCAUUUCAGCUGGAUAAAGUUUAUUCUGUGCAGUUUGGAUCCCGUUUCAAUCGCACAGAAAUCAAAGGCUUCAGACAAGGAUCGGUCAUUGUGGAAUCUGUACUGAUUUUCAAUGAUGUAAACUCUGUUCCUGAAACUGAGAAUGUGACUGACACUCUGGUACAAGCCGUUUCCUCCAACAGUUCAGACUUUGCAGAUCUUGGCAUCAAUUCUACCAGUAUAAAAGCUGAACGUAAGAUACUCACUUGUAGUAGAUUUAUACUCUCUGAAAUAAUGCAUGAUAAUUCUAUUACUAAUACUAAUUGUGCAAUGUAAUCCUGGAGGAUUACAUCCACAUGAAAUGUAAUUGGUUUGUUUAUGUUUUUUGUAGGAGUAUUCAGAUCAUUACAAACACAAGCCCCCACAACAAUGAUCAAAGAUACAACUCCGACCCCAACAUCAGACCCCAAUACAACAACAGCUGCAACAAGUCUGACACCAAACAGCAGUGCUGCCAACACAACACUUGCUCCGUCAUCAGCCUCAACAUCUGAAUCUAGCUCACCUUCACAAACGUCGACUUCAGCAUCAGAAAACACCACAACACCAGUUUCUAUGUCAACAUCAACAUUAGAAUCUACAUCAGCACCAUCAAACCUAACAUCAGUACUCAUCACAACAACAGCUCCAAUUUCAACCCCUACAUCGGGUCCCAGCACCUCACAUACUCCAACAUCAGAACUAACAACAACAAGUCCUCUAACAUCAGUACCCACCUCUGCUCCUCAAACAACUCUGGCUCCACAGCCUGCUCCAGUCACAGCAGCAUCUAUCCCCGAGCCAGAAGUCAAACUGGAAUUCAAACUGGAGCAGACGUUCACACCACAACUUCAGAACACCUCUUCAACAGCAUUUAAAAGCUUGGCUACUAAACUGUCUUCAGCGGUAGGAUUAUAACUUUUUCCACUUUUUAAGAAUGUCUGUCAUUCAUUCUAUUAUCAUAAUUUAAAAGAUAUCGGGUAA
rnacentral:lncRNA from 1 species